CUCGCCGGGACCACGGCCUCCUACUGCCUCCUCUCACCACUUCAAGAGACACCAUCUCCUAAAGGACAGGAACUCAGGAGCUAGGGGGGAAGCCUUGAGCCCUCUGGCCUGGCUCAAAGGCCAACGGCCCUCCAGGCUGCUGUGCCCCGACCACGCUGGGUCACACAGACGGGCCCACCUGCCUCGCCUGCUGUCCUGUCCUGCUCUCCUGCCAUCGCCGGCUGUGGAUUCCUUCCUGGGAACAGCCAGUGCUUGAAACAAAGUCGGAAGCACAGCGGCCCCACCAGUGUCUUGUCUCACCCCGGGUCUGAGUUUUGGGGAGGGCGGGUCCAGGUCCGCAGGGCCCCUGGCCAGCACCUGCCCCCAGGCCUCCCUCCCAGCCCACUGCCCGCAGCACCCACUGCUCCCAGCCCAGGCCCUGCCUCCCUUGGGCCCACGGCGGGUCCAGUGGGUGCACCCCCUGCUCCCCACUGUGGAGAGCUUCACAGUCCUUGUCCGGGAGUCCUGCCCUGGCCCCUCCUGUUAGCCCUGAGGAGCUCAGAAGCCCCUUCCCAGCAAGGUCCAGAUGAGAAGCUGAGGCUCAGAGAGGGCUGAGAGCUGCUGGGGGUCACGCGGACCAUCAGGCAGCAGUGGGUCCUCUACUCAAUCUGAGGAACGUGAGCAGAGCCAACCCCACCUCACACACACACACCCCAACCCCAAGGUCUGGGGACCCCCAGGUGGGCUCAGAGCCAGGCCUGUGGCCCAGCCUCCGCCCCCUCAUCCCAACCCCCUCACGUCCCUGCCCUGCCUCCCAGCCCAUCUCCCCUCCCAGCCCCCUUCGGCUUUGUCCCCCAAACACAACACAAAGGGCAGGCACUUACUUAUUGCAGCAGGAGAGGGGACACGUGCACGGCCAUCUAAGUCCCAACCUGAUGACGAAGCCACAAAGCUCUGACCUUAAAAGGCCUCAGAAAUGGGGGUAGUAAAAACACUCUGUAAGAUGAGCAAAGAAUUAGUUUGACACGUUAGUGACAAGGCCCUCGCUACCUGUCCUUUAGGAAACCGAGACAGUGAUCUACACACGGAAACACGCCACGCUGGCUACAAGGGUGCAAGUUAAAAUGGCGUCAAGAAGCCACCCCCUGCUCGUAGUCCACGAGCAAAUACAUAAGGGAAUUUGCCCAGACACGUUUGUGACUGUGAUUUGUCAUUACAAGAUGCUGGACCCACAGGGCAGCAGUGACAGGCUCACACCUUGGAAUGCCCUCGAGGCCGGUGAUCUCAGCAGGGUACCCGGGCCUGCAACACGACCCAAAGUGGGAAGAGCCCAGUAUCUGACAAUCCCGCCCAGUCCAGUCCCGCCCCGCCCGGGUAGCAUAAACAUUCACACAGGGGCGGAAAGCAGAGAGAGAGAUGACCCGACAGGUACUUCAGUCAAAUGCAAACGAGACGGCCAGGCCAGGGUGGGGUAGGGGGUGGGGGCAGGUCCCCCCCUGUCCGCGUCGCACAAGGUGAACUCCCAGCAGAAAGCAGGCCACACAGGAGGCGUCUCGACGUUCCCACAAUGCUGCAGCAAAACACAUCGAACAAGCGGGUGAGCCGUCGCGGGCCGGGCCGGGGGACCAGAAGCGGGGGUGGGAAGGCCACCCACUUCCCGUCCCAGCCCCAGGAUGCAGGGGGCGAGGACGGGGCCGAGACACACGCGGAGGGCCCGGCCCCGAGCGUGGGUUGUGACGGGCCUCGGCGGUGCCCGUGAAGCGCUUACGAAGCCAAUCACAGGCGCCCGCGGGGCUCUGGGCCCGGCCCAGCCAGUCCCCUCUCGGCCCAGAGGCUUUGCUCGAGCCCUUUGGGCCCCGGGAAGGCUCGCUCUCGAGCUGCCCUCACCCUCCGAGAGAGAGCGCGAGGGUCCCCUGCCCUGGGUCGGGCCCUCUGCCUUCAGGGCCUGCUCAGGCUACACCGCCCUCCCCACGGUGGCUUGUAUAAUCACCGCCUGGGGCCUGUCCCCGUGAGAGUGGGGGCACCGGGACGGCAGGACAGCAGCCUCCGUGCUGCCUGGGUCUGCGGGCUCAGGCUGGCCACGGAGGCCAGCGUUAGAAACGGAAAGCCUGGCGGAGGCUGCUGCUCUUUGCUGACUGCCCUCCACGCGCCCGCUAGGCCCCGGCCGCCAAAAGGGGCCCCCACAUCUUCCUGGGGGCAUCAGGAGCCUCCCUGAGACGGCUCCACACCCCGCAGGGCGGUGGCAGCUGCGGCGCCUCACGUGGCCUCUUCUUUCUGCUGUUACAAGUACACGUGUCUGAACCGGAGCCAGUGAAGGAUGCGAUGCAAGGCUCUCAGAGAAACGAAACGAAAUCCAAGGAAAACCGGAGGAAAUAAUGAAAUAAAAGUAGAGAUGAAUGAACUACAAAAUCAAAGUAAAACUACUUAUUUAAAGCUGCUUCUUUGAAAAGGCCAAUAAAGUAAGAGUUCUUCAAAGACUAUUCAAGA
ensembl:lncRNA